CAGUAGCCGCGGUAAUACAGAGGGUGCAAGCGUUAAUCGGAGUUACUGGGCGUAAAGGGCGCGUAGGCGGUUAUUUAAGUGAGUUGUGAAAUCCCUGGGCUUAACCUAGGAACUGCAACUUAUACUGGAUAGCUGGAGUACUGUAGAGGGUAGUGGAAUUUCCGGUGUAGCGGUGAAAUGCGUAGAGAUCGGAAGGAACACCAGUGGCGAAGGCGGCUACCUGGACAGAUACUGACGCUGAGGCGCGAGAGCGUGGGGAGCAAACAGGAUUAGAUACCCCAGUAGUCCCUGUCUCUUAUAC
rnacentral:rRNA from 1 species